AGUUUCCUAGCAACCGGCGGAGUGGCUACGUCACGGUGGCAGGUUCUAAGCGCUGCUGGGCACCGUAAGGCCGCCGUGUGUACCUUCCAGCAGCUACGGGCUGGUGGAAGCGCUGCUCACAGUCAGUGUCCGUACGUCUUCGUCCGCCCUUACCCUCCUUAUCCUGCUCCAGGUAGCGGAGAGCCGCCUCCCACCGCGCCCCCGCCACUGAGGCCCGGGUCAGAGGCUAGAGGCCGCCCGCCCGCCCCUUUCCCCUGAGCCCGCGGAGCCCGCCGCCCCGGGCCUCGGGGCGACGAUGCUGGAGUCCAUUCGCGUGACGGAUUGUAGUUCAUCUCACUGAGGACCUGCUUUCCCGAGCAUCAAUGACAGUAGUAAAUGGAUGUCCGACUCUGACCAUCAAUGUGUCCACUGCACGUGAGCAUUGGCUGGAGGGAAUGCUGAGGCAUGAAAUAGGUACACAUUAUUUUCGAGGUAUUAACAACCUCCAGCAGCCAUGGAACAGUUGGACUGGACGUAAAAAACAUGAGCUAAAGCCAAAUAAUCCCACAGAGGAAGGACUAGCAAGUAUUCAC
rnacentral:sRNA from 1 species